UUUUCUGCAGUAGCGGUGCUCUUGCAGAGCGUGUUGGUACUUUAAAGAGUGUGUAUGGUUAAGGGAAUUAUUCCUUGAUUAUCAGUCAGACCACUUCGAGUUUAACAUGGGUUUGGGAUGUUGGAGUGGUCGUGAAAUGUUGCGCGAGGCAGUAACGUAGUGCGUAAGAAGAGGAAUUACUCGCCACCAUGUGAUAGACUACCAUGCAACACGUGCUCCGUCGGUAAUCUAGGCCGCAUCCGCGACAACAUGGAAAGGAUUGUUGUGUAAGAUAAAUCCACGCGGAAUCUGUGGAGGUCAUGUAUCCACGGUGGAUGUGGAUGGCUCCUGUGCGUGUUGGCCUGUGGGGAGCAGACUGGUGUGGAGCCAUCCCUGGAAUAACUGGAUACGAUGGCGACGCACGGGGAAUGGACAUGGCUGCUAUAAACAUGCAUUAUUACAUGAUCACUCAUGUCAUGGAAAUGGACGAUCACUGAAAUGUGCUCUGGUUCUGAUGUUUUCACUUCAUUGUGAUUGUAGACCCAGUCUCAGUGGUUUCAAUCGGUAAAUGUGCUACAAAGGGGAAAGGGUGGGUGUAUGUAUUUUUUUUUCUCUACCCCUAAAACCUUUAUUGUUGGCGAACUACACAAUUGCUUAUUAAACACAAAUGUAUGCAUGUGAACCAACAGACUUGCAAAAUGUCUGUAUGAAUAAAUCAUUUAUUUCA